rnacentral:rRNA from 1 species
AGAGUUUGAUCCUGGCUCAGAGCGAACGCUGGCGGCAGGCUUAACACAUGCAAGUCGAGCGGGCCCUUCGGGGUCAGCGGCAGACGGGUGAGUAACGCGUGGGAACGUGCCCUUCGGUUCGGAAUAACUCAGGGAAACUUGAGCUAAUACCGGAUACGCCCUUUUGGGGAAAGGCUUGACUGCCGAAGGAUCGGCCCGCGUCUGAUUAGCUAGUUGGUGAGGUUAUGGCUCACCAAGGCGACGAUCAGUAGCUGGUCUGAGAGGAUGAUCAGCCACACUGGGACUGAGACACGGCCCAGACUCCUACGGGAGGCAGCAGUGGGGAAUAUUGGACAAUGGGGGCAACCCUGAUCCAGCCAUGCCGCGUGAGUGAUGACGGCCUUAGGGUUGUAAAGCUCUUUUCUCCGGGACGAUAAUGACGGUACCGGAGGAAUAAGCCCCGGCUAACUUCGUG